rnacentral:rRNA from 1 species
CUACGGGGGAUUCAAGCGUUAUCCGGACUUAUUGGGUUUAAAGGGUGCGUAGGCUGAUAAAUCAGUCAGCGGUGAAAUUUACGGGCUUAACUUGUAGCUUGCCGUUGAAACUAUUUAUCUAGAGAUAUUUCGGCGUAUGCGGAAUGUAUCAAGUAGCGGUGAAAUGCAUAGAUAUGCUACAGAACACCAAUCGCGAAGGCAGCAUACGAGUCAUCAUCCGACGCGGAUGAACGAAGGCGUGGGGAUCAAACAGGAUUAGAUACCCUGGUAGUCCACGCCGUAAACGAUGGGCGCUCGUCGUCGGCGACAGACAGUCGGCGGCCAAGCGAAAGCGAUAAGCGCCCCACCUGGGGAGUACGGUCGCAAGGCUGAAACUCAAAUGAAUUGACGGGG